rnacentral:rRNA from 1 species
AUUGAACGCUGGCGGCAGGCCUAACACAUGCAAGUCGAACGAGUGGCGGACGGGUGAGUAAUGUCUGGGCUACUGCCUGAUGGAGGGGGAUAACUACUGGAAACGGUAGCUAAUACCGCAUACCGUCAUUUGUGCCCAGAUGGGAUUAGCUUGUGGGUGGGGUAACGGCUCACCAAGGCGACGCUCCCUAGCGGGUCUGAGAGGAGGACCAGCCACACUGGAACUGAGACACGGGCCAGACUCCUACGGGAGGCAGCAGUGGGGAAUAUUUCACAAUGGGCGCAAGCCUGAUGCAGCCAGGCCGCGUGGAUGAAGAAGGCCUUCGGGUGGUAAAGUACUUUCAGCGGGGAGGCGUUACCCGCAGAAGAAGCACCGGCUAACUCCGUGCCAGCAGCCGCGGUAAUUC